UGUCAGCCGCCGCGGUAAUACAGAGGUCCCAAGCGUUGUUCGGAUUCACUGGGCGUAAAGGGUGCGUAGGCGGUUUGAUAAGUUUGGCGUGAAAGCCCCGGGCCUAACCCGGGAAUGGCGUUGAAAACUGUUGAACUAGAGGAUUGGAGGGGAGACUGGAAUUCUUGGUGUAGCAGUGAAAUGCGUAGAUAUCAAGAGGAACAUCAGUGGCGAAGGCGGGUCUCUGGACAAAUCCUGACGCUGAGGCACGAAAGCUAGGGGAGCAAACAGGAUUAGAUACCCUGGUAGUCCUAGCUGUAAACGGUGUGCGCUUGCUGUAAGAGGAAUCGACCCCUUUUGUGGCGUAGCUAACGCGAUAAGCGCACCGCCUGGGAAGUACGGUCGCAAGAUUAAAACUUAAAGAAAUUGACGG
rnacentral:rRNA from 1 species